rnacentral:rRNA from 1 species
UACGUAGGGUGCGAGCGUUGUCCGGAAUUACUGGGCGUAAAGAGCUCGUAGGUGGUUUGUCGCGUUGUUCGUGAAAACUCACAGCUCAACUGUGGGCGUGCGGGCGAUACGGGGCAGACUGGAGUACUGCAGGGGAGACUGGAAUUCCUGGUGUAGCGGUGGAAUGCGCAGAUAUCAGGAGGAACACCGGUGGCGAAGGCGGGUCUCUGGGCCGAUACUGACGCUGGAGGAGCGAAAGCGUGGGGAGCGAACAGG